rnacentral:lncRNA from 1 species
AAUACUUAUAUUCUUUCAGCUUAUAUAUAUAAUUGCUAUUACUUGCUGGGCACUCAAAUGCUCAUCCUUGCUUAAAUUAAAUGUUUUCAGUUAUGUAUAAGCAACCUGAAGGCUCAGGCACGAACAAGGGGAAAGAAAAGCUGUUUGAAUGAGUUUAUAUUAUGAGUUAAUGGUUAUAGUUAUAUUGGUAUCUAUUCAAGUAUUGUAAGGAAUGUAUUUGAAGGUCUCGUACCUAGGAAGUAAACUUUGAUGUAUGUAAAUUAAGUUUGAAUGUAAUAUUACUAUUGUAUUAUUCAGCUUAUAGAAAUGGUAUCGUGAAGCACCGAGUUCGGGUUUCAAGUACUCGGAUUUGGGGGCGUCACAGUUGCGCUGUCCCUUGGCUAGACUUGGGUUGAGCUUUCACUUCCUGUUUCUGUCCAACUCUAACACCUAUUCACUUAUACUUUAACAGAUAUACAUGUUAGAGGUUCUUACAUAAGCAUAUGACCAUUCUUGAGUUCAUUUUUAUAAGUCUUAGUUCAUGACUUUCCAUGAAAUUAAAGCAUAAAACGUUAUAUAUUUAUCAUGCUUUAUAACUUUGGUCAUAUUUUUACAUAUAGAGGUCUCAUAAUCUGUUAAUACAAAUGAUCAUGAUUUUCAUAUCAUUCAUUCAUAACUAGCAUUGUUUAACACUUGGAAAUAUGCUUUAACUCAUGUUUGAUUAAAUCAUCUUUAUGUCCAUUGCUUACAAAUCAUGUUUAGAGACAUAAUAAAACGUAACAUGGCAUCUCAAGCCUUUAGAAUCUAAAUACUCAUACGUAAUGCAACUUAAGUUUGAAAACAUGCUCGAGGUUGCCUUUGAAAUCCUUUUACAUGAAUGAUGCAAUAUAGCGCAUGUAAAUAACCUUUGAAACUCUUACCAUAAGUAACUAAGUCAUGUUAACAUCUUUUCAAGUUCAGAAACUAUAUCAUAUAGCAUUCAUGUUCAUUAGCUUAUUAUACUAAGCUUUUCUUGAAAUUUCUCUAAUCACAAGGUCUAAUAGUUUAAUCAAGAACAAAGACAUUAUAAACACCAUAUCAUGCUCAUUUAUAUUUGAACUCAAUCAUGUUAAUAAAACACUAAGUUCAAAACUUAUAGAACAUAAGUUUCCACAAAGGUUUGUUUUCAAAAUCUUUAAGUUUCAUUUCAAAUCACAUACUAAGUCAUGCCAAUGCUUUCUAUUAUUAGCAAGGAAAUCUUAUAUGGCAUGUAUAAUAUCAUGUAUUUUUAAUACCAUCGUUGGGAGCACUAUACUUACGUAUGUGCUCGCUUGACGCACUCCGAUCGCCUCUAAAUACGUAAUAGUCACAAAGAUGAGUAUUCUGACCCUUCCUAACGACCUCAAAUUGAAACACUUAAAGCACAAAAGUUGUAGGUCUAUUCGUCCUCGUUCUGGAUUAUCUUGAAUCACCUCAAACGGAGUUCGUAUGAAAGCGUUAUGCUUAAUUUACUACAACAAGUCAUAGUAGGGCACCAGACACUGAUGUCCGACGCAGUUGUGCCCUAAAUAACCUUGGGGACAGCGCAGCUGCGCCCCAGGUCGCAGAACAGCCCCUCAGGCUCUGCUCACGAUUUCACAGACCAAAACUCAUUCCAAUCAUUAUAAUAUGAGUUAUACUCAUUCAAUUUAGUCCAUUUUCGAUUCUAUGAGUUUGUAACUCAUAAAACUACUACAUACCAAAUACCCAUCAACUAACAUAAACAUUAACUAACCCAAAUAUUAAUUUACAACUCGUAUUCAUACUAAUUUUUCAUGUUUUUACAAUUUAGCGAAUUCGCUCGCUACGAAUUCGCUAAAUUGUAAAAACAUGAAAAAUUAGUAUGAAUACGAGUUGUAAAUUAAUAUUUGGAAUUCGUUUCUCAACCAUUUUGAUUCAUUCAACUUUCGUUGUUUUCAUUUCUUAAUAUACUAACACAAUAUAUAACCAAUUAACAGAUUAUAGCAAAGAUUGAACAUCAAAUUUUGGACUUACUAAGCAAUUUUCAUAUACAAAACACUGCUAUCUUAAUUUUCUUCUACAAACCACUUUUCCAUGAAUUUGAUUACUCAAUACAAUUUCUAUAUAACAAUUAUCAUAUUACACAUGUACAUAAUCAACACCUCAAACCCUAACCCAACAAAAAAAAUAUAGAUAAAAACUAAAACUUGAAAAUAGAAGAAACGAUUAUACCUUGAAUCUCAUACUAGCAAAAUGAUGUUAACAAAGUUUAGAAAUUCUUCCUUUCAUUCCCUCUAAAAGUUCUCUGUGUUUCUCCCUUUCAUUGUUCUUAGCUUAUUAGGAGAAUACGUGAUAUAACCCAUGUACGUCAGGUGAAGAAAAUGAAAAGACGUCAGUUACAAUAAACCAAAAGCCAUAAGGCUGCAUUUGGUUACACACAAUUUCCCACAUACUAGAUUAUUUUAAUAAUAUUAUAUUAUUUAGUUUUUAUUUGUCACACAUGUAACCAAUUUACAUAACUUACAAUAAUAAUUAUAAUAAUUAUAAUUUUUUAUUAUAAUUCUUCUGAUGAUUAAUAAAUAAUCAUAUAUCCAAUUUAAUAAAUAAAUUAGAUUUAAACAUCGCUUUAUUUAAUUUAUUAUUUUCUUUAACAUUAAACAACUCAUUUAAUUUAAUUAAUUAAAUUAAAUCUUCAAAGAAUAAAAUUUACAUUUGCUUUAAUUUAAUUAUCAUACACACGUAACUAAAUUAUUAUACCACAAUUUCAUAAAUUAUUUAUUUUUCUCAAUAAAUAAAUUAUUUAAAAUAUUUAUUUAACUCAAUAAAUAUUUAAAAUUAAUUACCAAAUUCAUUUAAUUUCUUCAAUAGUUAACUUAAUUAUUGAACCUCACUUUCCCAAUAUAUGAACAUAUAUUUCUCUUCACACCAGAUCACAUAUUUAAAAAUAUAUAGCAUGUAUAUAUACAUACUCAAACUCAAAACAUCUCGUAAUAAGAAUUUUAAUUAUUAAAUUUCUAUUUUAAUAACUUAUAAAAUUUGGGGUUGUCACAUCCUUCCUCCCUUAUAAGGAUUUCAUCCUCGGAAUAAACGAAACCUCCCUUACUCGGUUUUCACCAAAUCUCUUUUCAAAAUUUAUCGUUGAAUAUCUUCAACACAUUACCUUAAUAUAGGUUUUAUAUUUUCUACUCCCACCAUUCUUCAUAAUAAAUUCUUGUAAGUUUUAUUUCAUAACUUUCACUUGAACUCAAUUAUAUUUUGAGUAUUAUAUAUUCUUUAACCCAUUCAUUUCCUUUUUCUAAGGAUCAUUAUCAUAAACACUCGGGAUAUUACAUUCACCCAUUCUUCUAAGAAUUUUGUCCUCAAAAUUUUAUUUAUUAAUCUUUAUUCAUUCAAUCUAUCAAAAUAGAUUUUACGUUUAUUCAGUCAUUAGAUUCUAUAACCACUUUCUUUCCACAAAAAUCUUUCUACAAUUAUUAAACUUUUCUAUUAAAAGUUUUACAUUAUUCUUUGAUAACUCAUCUCCUCCUCAUUUCAAAAUUUCUUUUCUCACUUAUUCAAUAUAUUCAUCAUUCAGUGUCACAUUCUACAACUCACUUUGUUUUAAGGAAUAUCAUCCUUACCACAUUCGCCUUUUAGAAUAGAAAGAAUCUUCCGCAAUUGCUCAAUAAUUUGGAAGUAGUAUGAAUAACUCAGGAAUUCAAAAGAUUCCAAAUCAUGCUGAGUGGUCACAAGACCUUUAACUACGUCCACGGUUAUAAGUACUCUUUCAACUUAAACCUUAAUAAUCAUUAGACUGUAAGGACUCCCGUACUUAGGGUGUGAAGCCCUUCGUACGAUGUAUUGUGCACUCUAUCCACUAUUAUAAGUACUCUUUCAACUUAAACCUUAACAGUCAUUAGAUAGUAGGGACUUCACGUACUUAGGGGGAUCAACCCUUCAUACCAUGUACUGUGCAGAAACAUCUAAACGCUUUCAUGUACUACCCUAUAAAAGGUUAUUUAUAUAACCUUUUCAACAUCUGAAUCUACACCAAAGCAAUUUGGUUCGGCAUAACUUCUCAAGAAACGCUUGAAUUUCAUGAACAUCUUUUAAUAAUCGUCUAGCUGAAUCAAAUAGCAUAGACUUCUUCAACAAUUCGGACAUCAAUCGAAAUAUAUAUAUACAUACAUACAUAUAUAUAUAUAUAUACAUAUAUAUAUAUAUAUAUAUAUAUAUAUUCUCUAAUCAUAAAGAAAUCUCAAAAAUCCUUUUAUGGCAUCAUGAUUAUGACGUUGUCAUACUACAUCUCACCAUAGUGGACUGACGAUCAUAUGAUCACAUCCAACAGCAGGUUCCAUUGUAUUGAUGACUCUAUCAUUUAUCACAUCACCCGAUACAUAUAGUUAAAAUAUAUUUUGAAAUUUUUUUUAAAAAUCACUUUUUUUUAUCUAGCCGAAACAAACAACAUAGAUACGUGAAUAAUAACAAUGUUUUAAAAAUUCUUUGGUUCACUAGUGUGACCCAACAUUUUUUUUUCAAAAAAUCAAAAUUAUAACCAUCGACACGAAGUCAAUAAAUUUCAAAAAUCUAGCAAAGCUAAAAGAUUUGGAAUAUCUAAUUUUCUCCAUCAAUUUCAAUCUUUACACUAAAUAUUCUUGUAUUUCAACUUAUAAUCCUCCUAUAUCCCCAGUAUAGUUCGUCAAACUUACUGCACAUUGGAAGUUCAGGAACUUGCCACAAUAAUAUGAGUUUAAGAACUUAUCCUAGUCAGACCAUAGGCGUCCAUUAGCUUGGGGGUUCAAAACAUACCAUAUUAUUAUGAGUCAUGAACAUACCAUAUGCAUUAGUUUUAAGAACCGUACCUAAUCCUAAUAAUAUAUGACUAAUCUUAAUAGUUUCUAACUAUCAAACAUACACAUGAGAAAAAAAAUCACCUUUUCGCCACAUAUACAUUGAUAGCGCGACACCAACAUUCUAAUGAUUAUCAAUGUGAUAAACUGAGUGCAUGCACAAAAUCUUCGCCCAUACAAAGGUUUGUAUAACUCAGCCAUCACAUGAGUCCUCAAAUGAAAUCCCACCUAACUCUAUCUUACUCUUAAAUUUUUCUUUGCUCGAUACGAAUUCCUCGUAUCACAUUAUCUAUAACUCCUCGUGAGUUUAUCUCGUACUAUAUCAUAGUACAUUAUCUUCAUAGCAUCAAGCUAUAAUUAUUCAAACAUUACAAACCAUCUUUCUUUUAUAACUUAAAUUAAUCACGUCGUGAUCUUAUUCUAUAAUCAUCUCCCUUAAAAUUCUUUUCUUAACUCAUGAUCGUUUUGUUUUACGAUCCUCUUUCUUUCCUUUUUCAUCAUACGUAUCCAUUUUCUAUACUUGGUACACAUCGAGUCUCUAAUAGUUUCAAUAUGGUACGUUGAGUGGUUUCCCACAAACAACCAACAAACUAGGUUCCUGAGUUACUAGUUCGUAUAUACCUCCGCUCUAUGAAGUAAUCGUUUAGCCCACAUACCAUACAUCAAAUAUUAAAGAGUACAAUUGUACUAUUACUUAAAUAUAACUUUUUGAUUCAUAACUUCUUUAUCAUCUUCUCCUUUAUUCUCUAAGGUUAUAGCCUAGGGUACUUUUACCUAAGAUUUAUAACCUACAACUCUAAUACCAACUGUAACGACCCCAAAAUUCAUACAAUUUAAUUCCCAACUUUGGUCGAUAAUAACACAUCUACCUUUGAUCUUACAUCAUUAUUCGAUGUUAAACUUUAUAAAAUGCGGAAUAAUUUAAACUUUUAUGUCUUCUUACUUUAAUUCCCUGAAUCAAAACCUUUAUCAUCUACAUAUCUUUGAAUCAAUCUUAUUUUAUGAUUCGCUUUAUCACUGUUAUUAUAUAAAAUUUUACAUUUCAAUCUGAAAACCUUUACAUAUCAGAUAACUCGAACUUUAGCUUUACAACUCAACAUAAAAUUAUACAUCAUAAAAAAUUUAGUACAUCUCAUGAAUCUUAAUCAUGGUAUAAAGAAAUAACAACUUUAGCUAAAAUAUAAAUCUUCGUGUAUUAUUUCUGAUCCACGUCAUUCAAGUAGCACAUAGUGUUACCUUCAAUCCUUAACCUGCAAAAAUGGUUAUUUGCAAGGUUGAGCUCGAUAGCCCAACAAGAUCUAAUAGUUUUUAGGCAUCACAUAACACAUAAUAACAUGCUCAACAUAUAACAUACAUGUUGUAGUUCAUAUACCAAGUAUAAAGAUUGAGUUCCUUACUCAAUCAUCAUGUUUUAAUUAAUCAAAGUAGUCAUAAAUUGACUUUAUAAUUUCAUGCUUUCAACAUAUAAAUAACACAUCAUGCUCUUUGCAAUAAAUAUUUAAAAUAGUUAAUCAUCAAGUUCACAUAGCAAAUAGGAAUUGAAAGACUUGCCUGAUUCGUAGUUUAUGAACUACGACUUAACUGCUUAACGCGUAUCUGCACUUCGUGUAUUCCUACACAGUUAUAUAAUCAUGUAUUCACAUCCAUUAGUCAUAUAUUUCAUACAUUCUUAAUAUAAUAACAAUGUUACAUUAUUUCCUAACUAGGUUUGUAAAACCUACAUUUCACUUUCUCAUCACAGUCUUAGAAUAGCUAGGUAUAUAUAGUUAUACCUUAACCACUCGUACUUUACAUCAACAUUCAUAUAUAUUUAUUACACACUUGACUUGCUAUGUGUUCAUUACACAUUUCAAACUCAUAGAUGCAUGAUUCACAAAGUUCUUGCAUUUUUUAAAAUUUAACAACUCUGUGUUUUAUAUAACCAUUACAUGCUCUUAUGCUUAAAACAUCAUCUAUGUCAAGUAUUAUAGCUUUAAACAUUCAUAUCUAUAUGCUUUAAGGUCUGGAUUCACAGUUAAAAUAAUAAGGCAUCAUUGCCCUGUGUCGCAGCUGCGCCCUAGUUAGGCUUAGGGACGGCGCAGCUGCGCUGUCCCCUGGCCAGACCAGGGUUGAGCUUGUACUUCCUAUUUCUGUCCAACUCUAACACACCUAUUCACUUAUACUUUAACAUACAUACAUGUUAGAGGUUCUUACAUGAGCAUAUGACCAUUCUUAAGUUCAUUUUUAUAAGUCUUAGUUCAUGACUUUCCAUGAAAUUAAAGCAUAAAAGGUUAUGUAUUUAUCAUGCUUUAUAACUUUGGUCAUAUUUCUACAUACUGAGGUCUCACAAUCUGUUAAUACAUAUGAUCAUGAUGUUCAUAUCAUUCAUUCAUAACUAGAAUUGUUUAACACUUUGAAAUAUGCUUUAACUCAUGUUUGAUUAAAUCAUCUUUAUGUCCAUUACCUACGAAUCAUGUUUAGAGACAUAAUAAAAUGUAACAUGGCAUCUCAAGCCUUUAGAAUCUAAAUACCCAUAUGUAAUGCAACUUAAGUUUGAAAACAUGCUCGAGGUUUCCUUUAAAAUCCUUUUACAUGAAUGAUGCAAUAUAGCGGAUGUAAAUCAGCUUUGAAACUCUUACCAUAAGUAACUAAGUCAUGUUAACAUCUUUUCAAGUUCAAAAACUAUAUCCUAUAGCAUUCAUGUUCAUUAGCUUAUUAUACUAAGCUUUUCUUAAAAUUUCUUUAAUCACAAGGUCUAAAAAGUUUAAUCAUGAACAAAGACACUAUAAACACCAUAUCAUGCUCAUUUAUAUUUGUACUCAAUCAUGUUAAUACACCACUAAGUUUAAAACUUAUAGAACAUAAGUUUCCACAAGGUUUGUUUUCAAAAUCUUUAAGUUUCUUUUCAAAACACAUACUAAGUGUGAUGCCCCCAAAUCCGGGUAUCUUCCAACCCGACAGAUGGUUCUACACGGUACUCAUAACUGUACAUUUAUUCUAUUGAAACGACAUCAAAAUGGGUGUAUCAACGACAUUCUUAUUACAUUAAUAAUAUUACAUCCUGUUCUCAGGUUCUAAAACCAGUACAUUCUUUGUUCAUUAUUCUAUAAUAUAUACAACUUACUAGUUUAUUACAAGCUAAACUAAUAGUUCAGCUUCUUCUUGCCUCUAUCCUUGUCAGAUCCCUCGGUUCGUUCGGUCCUCGCUGCAUAACAAGCUCAGCAAGUACAACAAUUUCUUUUAAACAACAUGCUUGAAACAUAGGAAUCAUAUAUCCUCAAUAACUGGAUAAUAGUUAUCAAUAAUUCAAAAUAGCAUUUCUUUUCCUUUAAAAUGUUUUACAAUAACAAUAUUCAGUAAAACAUCAACUCUGGCUCAAGACCAUGAGCAUUUCAUAUUUUCUUUGAAAAGGACAACCCGACACUAAGUCCGUAAGUCCAGCAUAUCUUACGAGCACUUCUGGGUGAUCAGCCCAUAGUACUCUAUGUUGAUCAACACUACAUCCUGUUAAACGUACGUUUAAAUUUUGGCAACCUCGCGUGCCAAUCGAAUAAUCGAUGAAAAAUACAUUUGUUUAUUCAUACUCAGGCUUACCUUGAAUCCGUACCAAACAAUUGGCUAAGGAUAGCGUUAGCAAUUCUAUAUUGAAAGAUGUGUAAAUAAGUCAAUCAACUCUUUAAGAUUAGUCUAGCUGAGAUAAAACUGGCAUCGACCCUUUAGUAAAACACUUCAUGCAUCUCAUAACAUGAAUCACAGAAAACUUGGCUAACACAAAGGUUAGACAAGCGUUUAAGAAAAACUUGCCUUCAGUGUCUGCUACAAUAUAAUAACUUUUCCUUUCAGUCUUUACGGUCUCUACAAAACAUAACCACAUAACAUACCACAUUAGGUCAUGAAUGAACAUACAUGGUUCCUAAUGAAUCUUACCCUUCUUCUCAAUCUAAUCAUAUAUUAGAUUUGUUACUAUUGGUUUCGGCUUGUCAUUAUCUUUUACAUUAUUCCUACCAAUUUCUUUCUCUUCUAUGUCAUAUGUAGAUUUACUUUAUUAAUCCAACUCGUUUAAAGUUAAUCAUCCUUCCUCACGGCUUACUAACAUCUUUACAUUAUUAAUCGAAACUCGGUCGUCAUUUAUUAAGUAUACUUUAUUGCAUACCGUUUACAUUCACGUAUUACGUAACAACUUUUAGUUGUAACUCUUAAUGUUAUAGGCCUUAUCAUUAUUGAAUAUGGUUCACGUUCCUUAUACUUUACGUUCGUCGUUUAACUACUCAUUAAACAAUAUUAAAUUCCUAAAAUCAUCACUAUAACAGUGAUUUAGGAAAGGUCUUAUCAUGUUCAUUAAGUAAUUACAUAACCCAUACUGGUAUUGCAAACCAUUGGAUUCAUAAUCAACUUGGUCAACAAAUUUCUAUAGCCGGCUUAGCACAUUAUUUUGUUCUCAUUACGUUCAUCUUCAAUUGAUUAUUAACCUUUAAUCAUCAUACAUUAAGUGUCUAACAAUGCUUUAACAAUGUUAUAUUUACACCUUAGUUCAUUACUAAUGAGUUAUCUUUCAUUCUAUACUUGUAAACAUUCUUGUCUAUCAAAACCCUAGGACUGGCGCCGCGGUGCCACAAUUAGCUAUGCAUCCCGCGCCACACCGCGAGUUAGCAGUAUUCCCUAACACUGUUACGGCGCUGCUGCGCCACCCAUUUGGCCUUGGGUUGGCGCCGCGGCGCCAACUCUGUGCCUUAGAAAAUUUUUGCAUAUUUUAAAUUUUACGAAACUCCCGGACGCAUAACUUCUUCGUUAUAAGUCCGAUUUGGCUCAUUCAAAAGCCUACGGUUCAAAAAUUACAUACUCUAUAUGUUUAUUCAAGAAUUUUAUCUAUUUGACUUUGUUUGUUCAAAAUUCACCUAUUGGUUCAUUUUUAACGAAAACGAUAAACGUUCGUGAACGUUCAACGCUCGUUUCUUCAAUCUAAGUCGGAAUUCGAUCAUUCUUGAAUCCGCAACUCUAUAAUGCCAAAUAAGACUUGUCUCCAUUGAAAACCAAUGUUUACAAGCUCAAUCUCAAAAUUCGACUUCUAUUCCGAGAAUUUUAUGAAUUCGACGAUUAUCGUCCAAACUCGUUAAUUCCGCCUUAACUUCAUUUCUUAAGAUUUGUUCUUCGCUUUAAAUGGACUCAAUCCAUCAUAUUAACAUCUUGACAUAUAUAACUUAUUAACUUAUAAACAUGAUAAGUUAUUACUUAUUCUUUGUGAGUUUAUAACUUAUAAAAGUAUAAACUACUUAUAACUUCCUUUCUCAUGACUUAUUAUAGAUUAAGUCUUUUAACCACCAUUCUUACUCUUUAUUAUCAUACCAUAUUAUUAAAGUACACAUAUGAGUAGUUCAUAUAUACUCUUUAUAAAUUCAUAACUUAAUUAAGUUUGAAUUACUUAUUCAUGACUUAUACGGCUUAAGUCCAUUGAUUAAUCAUUCUUAUCAUUCCUUAACAUACAUGUUCUACCACUACCCCAUUAUCUAACAAUUGAAGAGAAAGAAAUUAUGGUUUAAGUUCUUACCUAUGAAGAUUACUUGCUUAAUCUUUAAUUUCCUUCUUGCUCCUUGAUUUAUCAAAAGCUAACUUGUUUCUAGCUUUCGUAGCUUUUUCUCUCUAACCAAUAAGCACUUUAUAAGUUAUAAAGUGUUGGAUGAAAUAAACAACCAACAAUUGAGCUAGCAAGCUUCCUAUUUAUAGGAAAACCAAAGUGAGGGCAUUUUAGUCCAAAGCCAAUCCCACCUCCUUAAUCACCUCCUUACUAUUCCUAGCUUAAGUACUAAGUUAACUUAGCCACCACACUAUUUGCUUGGCCAUCACAACAUCUAUCCAAUACUUGGGCAUCACAUAUACUUAACCAUUAAGUAUACUUGCUAAUCACAAAACUUAGCCUUUAAGUUUACUUGUUAAUCACUUAGCUUAUCCUUUGCUUGUUGAUCACAACUUUUACUUGUUCACCACACAUAAGCACUUUACUUACUUAUCACAUUAAUUACUUGCUCAUUACUUUGGAUCACCCAUGGGUUUAAACCAUCCAAUAACCCAUAAGUUCAUACUUUGGGCUUUUAGCUUAACUUAUACUUGGGCUUGCAUUAACAAUUCUUUGGGCUUGACCAUUAGCUUGCAUUGGGCUUACACAUUAAUUCCUAUUGGACUUACCCAUUUAUACACUUGGGCCUUAUCAAUUCUCAUUGGACUUUACAAUGUUCUACACAAUCCUAUAAAUUAAAUUCAUUUAACUUAAAGCCUUAUAACGUAUAAUUUGCGUAUUCAUCUCGUAUUCCAACUCAUAUACUUAUUCAUAUACGACAUAUUAUGCUUCAUUCAUACUCGUAUAACACCUCGUAUCAUACUCGUAUUCAUUACUUCGUAUUAUACAAUCAUUACUUUAAUUCAUUACACGCAUUAAAAUUCCUUCUCGAAAUUCAUUUUCCUUAAUUGUUAGGUUUUAAGUCCGCAGGCAAAAAACUGUGUUUGCCAUAACUGAAAUAUUAUUGGAUAUUCUAUCUCGCCUCGAUAUUCUAUCAUUACGUAUUUAUCAGAAAUUCAAAAAUAAUUCCCGAACAGAAAUGCGUGAAUAGUGUUUUUCAGAAAAUUUCUCGAAAAACUUUUAUUUCUUCUUUGAAAUUCAAACACUUUAAUUCUACCACGUAGCCAAAAUACUACGGCAUUCCGAUAUGUCUAUGUCAUAGAACGACCUUUGAAUAGCUUACUACCAUAAUUAAUUAAUUAAAUUCAUUUAAUCCACAUAAUUAAAAAAAAAAUUAAUUCUCAAAAAUCCAAAUUUUUAGGGGCGUUACACUAAGUCAUGCCAAUGCUUUCUAUUAUGAGCAAGGAAAUCUUAUAUGUCAUGUAUAAUAUCAUGAAUUUUCAUGUUACAUCACUUAGAAUGACAUAUUCCAUCGUUGGGAGCAAUAUACUUGCGUAUGUGCUCGUUUGACGCACUCCGAUCGCCUCCAAAUACGUAAUAGUCACAAAGAUGACUAUUUUGACCAUUCCUAAUUACCUCAAAUUGAAACACUUAAAGAACAAAAGUUGUAGGUCUAUUUGUCCUCGUUUCGGAUCAUCUUGAAUCACCUCAAAUGGAGUUCGUAUGAAAACGUUAUGCUUAAUUUACUACAGCAGGUCAUAGUAGGGCACCAGACACUGAUGUCCGACGCAGCUAUGCCCUAAAUAACCUUGGGGACAGCGCAGCUGUACCCCAGGUCGUAGAACAGCCCCUCAGGCUCUGCUCCUCACGAUUUCACAGACCAAAACUCCUUCCAAUCAUCAUAAUAUGAGUUAUACUUAUCCAAUUUAGUCCAUUUUUGAUUUUAUGAGUUUGUAACUCAUAAAACUACAAUAUACCAAAUACCCAAAUAUGAAUUUAUAACUCAUGUUCAUACUAAUUUUUCAUGUUUUGACAAUUUAGCGAAUUCGUUUCUCAACCAUUUCGAUUCAUUCAACUUUCGUUGUUUUCGUUUCUUCAUAUACUAACACAAUAUAUAACCAAUUAAUAGAUUAUAGCAAAGAUUGAACAUCAAAUUUUGGACUUACUAAGCCAUUUUCAUAUACAAAACACUGUUAUCUUAAUUUUCUUCUACAAAUCACUUUUCCAUGAAUUUGAUUACUCAAUACAACUUCUAUAUAACAAUUAUCAGAUUACACAUGUACAUAAUCAACACCUCAAACUCUAACCCAACAAAAAAAACAAUUUUAUAGAAAAACUAAAACUUGAAAAUAGAAGAAUGGAUUAUACCUUGAAUCUCGUACUAGCAAUAUGAUGUUAACACAGUUUAGAAAUUCUUCCUUUGAUUCCCUAUAAAAGUUCUCUGUGUUUCUCCCUUUCUUUGUUCUUAGUUUAUUAGGAGAAUACGUGAUAUAACCGACGUACGUCAGGUGAAGAAAAUAAAAAGGCGUCAUUUACAAUAAACCAAAAGCCAUAAGGCUGCAUUUAGUUUCACACAAUUUUCCCCAUACUAGAUUAUUUUAAUAAUAUUAUAUUAUAUAGUUUUUAUUUGUCACACUUGUAACCAAUUUACAUAACUUACAAUAAUAAUUAUAAUAAUUAUAAUUUUUUAUUUAUAAUUCUUCUGAUGAUUAAUUUACUUAUUUUCUUUAACAUUAAACAACUCAUUUAAUUUAAUUAAAUAAAUUAAAUCUUCAAAGAAUAAAAUAUACCUUUGCUUUAAUUUAAUUAUUAUACACACGUAACUAAAUUAUUAUACCACAAUUUCAUAAAUUAUUUAUUUUUCUCAAUAAAUAAAUUAUUUAAAAUAUUUAUUUAAUUUAAUAAAUAUUUAAAAAUAAUUACCAAAUUCAUUUAAUUUCUUCAAUAGUUAACUUAACUAUUGAACAUCACUUUCCCAAUAUAUGAAUAUAUAUUUCUCUUCACAACAAAUCACAUAUUUAAAAAUAUAUAACAUGUAUAUAUACAUACUCAAACUCAAAACAUCUCAUAAUAAGAAUUUUAAUUAUUAAAUUCCUAUUUUAAAAACUUCUAAAAAUUUGGGUUGUCACAUUCUUCCUCAUACGCAUCAGCUCCAGGUCUGUAGCUUGAGCAACUUUAACUUUAUCGAUUAAAGUCAGUUUUACUCAUAUAUUUGCCAUCAUCACGUGGGUCCCUGGAGUCUUUAACUCUAUCUCCAUCCUUUGUAAGCCAUACAAAAUGGGCCUUUGCGUUGACAAUAUCGCACUCGUACCAGCAUAUGAUCUUCUACUCAACGCGUCAGCUACCACGUUCGUUUUCCCAGGAUGGUAUUGAAUGGUAUGAUUGUAAACUUUCAACAUCUCGAGCCAACAUCGUUGUCGCAUGUUGAGUUCCUUUUGGGUGAAGAAUUAUUUGAGGCUUUUAUGAUCCGUAUAGAUCUUCACUUUCUCCCUAUACAGAUAAUGCCUCCAGAUUUUAAGCACGAAAAUUACAGCUGCCAACUCUAGAUCAUAAGUAGGAUAAUUCCUCACAUAUUCUUUGAGUUGUCGCGAGGCAUAAGCUAUGACUUUCCCAUGUUGCAUGAGAACACAUCCUAAACCUUUUCCGGAAGCAUCGCUGUAUAUGACAAAUCUCUCCGAACCAGAUGGUAUAGUCAGAACAGGUGCUGAAAUGAGUCUCUUUUUGAGUUCUUAAAAACUCUUCCCACGAAUCUCCAAUAAUAACCAGCUAAGCCCAGAAAGGUACGUACUUCGGUCACUGACUUAGGUUGCUCCCAGCUUUGUAUUGCUUCAAUCUUUGUGGGGUCAACAGAUAUUCCAUAAUUUGAUAUCACGUGCCCAAGGAAUUCUACUUCCUCAAGUCAAAACUCUUAUUUCUUCAACUUGGCAUAUAGCUUGUUUUUAUGAAGCUUUUGGAGUACCAGCCUCAAGUGUUGCUCAUGAUCUUCUCGGCUUUUGGAGUAUAUGAGGAUAUCAUCAAUAAAGACGACAAAAAAAUGAUCCAAAUAUUCCUUGAAUACUCAGUUCAUCAUAUCCAUGAAGGCAGCAGGAGCAUUAGUCAAUCCAAAAGACAUAACUAGGAACUCAUAAUGCCCGUACCGAGUUCUGAAAGCAGUCUUUGGAAUGUCAUCGGUUUUAAUUUUUAACUGAUGAUAUUCGGAACGAAGAUUAAUCUUUGAAAAGAAUUUGGUGCCUUGCAACUGGUCAAACAGGUCAUCAAUGCGAGGCAACGGGUACCUAUUUUUGAUGGUGACAUGGUUCAACUCCUGAUAAUCAAUACAAAGUCGCAUACUCCCAUCUUUCUUCUUCACGAAUAGAAUAGGAGCACCCCAAGGAGAUGUACUAUGAAGAAUGAAACCGAUGUCUAACAAUUCCUGCAGUUGGGUUUUUAACUCCUGAAUUUCAAUAGGAGCCAUUCUAUAUGGGGCUUUGGAAAUGGGUUUUGUACCAGGUUCAAGGUCAAUACCAAACUCGAUUUCACGCUCCGGGGGUAGGCCAGGAAGUUCUUCGUGGAAUACGUCAGGAAAUUUAUUAGCAAUAGAAAUAUCAUUCAAAUAUAACUUAUUUGUAUUUAAAUCUAUGACAUGGGCUAAGAAAGCUUGACAUCCGUUUUCAAUAAACGAAUAGCUUUAUGGCUUAAUAUGACAGCGAUUAACUUUAUUGGUUUGGUUGCUUGAAUUCUCAUAAUAGGUUGGUUAGGAAUAUGAAAGCUAAUAACCUUACAAAAAGAAUCAAUUUUAGCAUGAUGAUUAGUUAAUCAAUCAAUCCCUAAAAUCACCUCAAAUGCAAGUAUUUUCAAAGAGAUAAGAUCGACAGGCAAUGUGCGGUUGCCGAUUUGAAUAAAAAAAGACUUAAUAAACACUAGAUGUAAUGAAGGUUUCUCCCAACGGAGAUUUAACAGAUAAGUCAAAGUCUAAUUUCUCUGGAGUUAAAUUUAAACGUUGAGCGCAUAAUUCAAAAUAGCACUUCUCUUUUCUUUAAAACGUUUUACAAGGACAACAUUCAGUAAAACAUCAAUUUCGGUCCAAGAUCUUGAGCAUUUCAUACUUUCUUUGAAAAAUAACAUCCCAACACUAAGUCUGUAAGUCCGACAUUACUUAUGAGCACGUCUAGGUGAUCAGCCUAUAGUACUCCAUUUUGAUCAACACUACAUUCUUUAAACGUAUGUACGUUUAAAUGGUGACAACCUAACGUGCCUAUCGUUUGAUGACAAACCAUUUGUUAAGGAUACUCAGUCUUCAUUUGAAAACCACACCAAUAUAGCUUGGUAAAACAUUGACCAUACUUCGAUAGAUUAUAAUAAAUCCAAACAUCUUAAGUCUAUCCGAAAGAAUUGGCUUUGACUUCAUCAUACACCAAUUCAUACACAAGAGUACAUGAAACACAAAACAUGUCUAGACUGAGCAUAGACAAGGGUUAGAAUACUUGCCUUCAACAUCUGCUACUGUUAUUACACAUUCACUUUAAGUCUUUAAGGUCUCUACAAUAGAAGCUCACAUAACAUACCACAUUAGGUCGUGAAUAAACAUGCAUGGUUCCUAAUGAAUCAUACCCUUCUUCUCAAUCUAAUCAUGUAUUAGAUUUAUUACUAUUUGUUCUGGUUUUUUGUUAUAUUUUACAUCAUCAUUACGUUCAUGCUCAAUUGAUUAUCUUCAACCUUUAGGUAUCAUACUUAAGGUUUAACAAUGCCUUAACAAUGUUAUAAUUAAGAUUUAUUUCAUUGUUAAUCAAUUGACAUCCUUGCUCUACUUACAAACAUUCUUUACUGUCAACAUCCUAAGGCUGGCAUUGCACCGCCAUCAGUUCUUCUUUGUGCCACGCUGCGGCGCGACUUAGCAGUGGCAAAGGUCAGGGCUCGAUGCUACAGCGCGAGUCCUUAUGCAAUGGGCUGCGCUGCGACGCCACUCUACAGUGCCUAACUUCCUGACUCGGCGUUGCGGCGCGAGUCUCAGUACUAUAUGUCGGGCUACGGUGUGACUCCUCAGUAGGUUAAGACACUAUGCACAGUGCUGCAACGCCACACAUUAGCCUUGGGCUUGCGCCGCGGUGCUAGCUCUGUGCACCAGACCGUGAAAAAUUUUGUUUUGCAUAACGAACUUCCCAGACUCCAAAUUUGAUCAGUUUAAGUUCGAAUUGGCUCGUUCAAAAUCCAUUAGCUCAAAUCAUAUACUCUACGUGUUCAUGCAAGAAUUUUAUAUUUUUGACUUCGUUAGCUUAAAAUUCAUCUAUUGGUUCAUUAUUAACGAAAAUGAUAAAUGUUCGUGAACGUUCAACACUCGUUUCUUCAUUCUAAGUCAGAAUUCGACCAUUUUUGACUCCGCAACUCUAUAAUUUUAAAUAAGACUUGUUCCCAUUGAAAACCAACGUUUCCGAGCUCAAAAUUAAAAUUUGACUUCUAAUCCGAGAAUUUCACGAAUUCAACGAUUAUCGUCCAAUCGUGAGAAUUCCGGCAUAACUUCGUUACUUAUGAUUUGUUCAUCUUUUCAAAUGGAUUCUAACCAUCAAAUUUACAUCUUAACCUACAUUUUAUAUCAACUAAUUUACAUGAUAAGUUAUUACUUAUGUUUCAUGAGUUUAUAACUUAUCAAAGUAUAAACUACAUAUUAUUUCAUUUCUCAUGACUUAUGAUAGUUUAAGUCUUCUAACCAACAUCCUUACAUCCUUUUAACAUAUAAACUUCAUUCAUGUUAACAAGUUACAAGUCUUACAAGUUCUUCCUUAGUUCAAAGCUUAUCUAAUGAACAAAGUGCUUAUUUACGGCUUAUUAAGACUUACGUCCUAAGAUUCUUCAUUCUUAUCAUUUCUUAGCAUACAUGUCCAUUAAUCCACAAUUCUCUUAUGAACCUAUAAUAGCAGAGAUGGAAGACUAAUGACAUAAGAGGCUUACCCUUGUUAAACAAGCUUUCUUCUUCUUUUCUAACAAAUGAAAGUCUAACUUAUUCUUGCUUAUUCUAUAUAGUAAUUAAGUUAAAAGUGUUGGAUGAAAAUAAAAACCAACAAAUGAAAUCCUAAGCUUGUUAUUUAUAGGAUUUCCUAAGUUAGGGAAUAAUGGACAAAAGCCAAUCCCACCUCCUUAUUACACUUCCAUACUAUUCAUUACCUAGCUAUUAAGUAAACUUGCUCCCUACUUCUUUUAUUUGGUCAUUACAUAAUUUACUUGGUCACCACAUUAUUCUUUUGGUCACCAAGAUUACCAUAUGAUCAUGGGUUGCCCCAUGGGUCACCCUAACCCAUUGGAUCAAUAGCUUGGCUUAGGUUUAAUUAUCUUAACUUAAGCUUUUGGGCUUACAUUAAUUCCCUUUGGACUUUACUUUAAUAACCACUUGGGCUUUAACAUUACUCACACUUGGGCUUGCACAUUAAUUUCCAUUGGAUUUUACAAAUUGCUACACCAUCCCACAAGUCCAUUUCAUUUGGUUUAAGCCUUAUAACGUAUUAUUUAUGUAUUAUUCUCGUAUUCUAACUCGUAUAAUAAUUCAUAUUAUACGAUAUUCCAUCCUUCAUACAUACUCGUAUAAUACUUCGUAUCAUACUUGUAUUUGAUACCUUUUACAAUACAUAUAUAUUAUACGAUCAUUACAUUAACUUCUUAACGCUUUAUUUUUCCUAAAGUCCUCAAAUUAAGUCCGCAAGCUAAAAAUUACAUUUUCCAUACUCGAAUUAUUAUUACAUAAUCCAACUCACUUCGAUAUUCUAUCGUUAUGUAUCUCUCGGAAGUUCAAAAAUAAUUCCCGAGCAGAAAUCAAUGAAUAGUAUUUUUCAAAAAAUUUCUCGAAAAAGUUUUAUUUUCGUCUUGGAAAUCCAAACAUUUUAAUUCUCUCACGUAGUUGAAAUACUAUGACAUUCCGACGUUUCUAGGUUAUAGAACGACAUUCAUCUUACUAACUCGUAGUAAUAUCAAAUAAUAUAAUUGUAUUCAUUAUUUAAUUAAAUAAAAUUAUUUUACAAUGGAUCCGAAUUUCUCGGUUGUUAUGAAUACACAUACACUAAUUAGUCAAAUACUUGACUUAUGCAUUGGUUUACUUAACUUUACUUCUUAGGGUUCACAUUCAUAGAAUCUAAGUUUACGCGACAACUUCAUUUACUACCGAUUUACGGCUUCAUGACAUACGGAGAUGUCUUACUCAUAUUAUCAUCAUCUUUGAUGAUUUACAUUCUUAUCUUCUUCUUAUAACUCUCCUAGGACUCAGCACACAUCGUGUAUCUGCUAGUAGUCCAUAUGGUACUCUGACUGGUUUCCCACAAACAACCAACAAACAAGUUCCCGUCUCGUCUACACUGCCAUCACAGUGAGUUAGAUCGGUUGCCAGUUUCGUAUAUACCUUCGCUCUCUGAAAGAAUUGUUUAGCCCAGCUGCCAUAUGUCAACCAUCAAAGGUUAUGAUUGCACCACAACCUAACUUAUCUUAACUUAUUCGAACUAUUAAACUAUAAUGUUCGUUAAGUUAAUUUCUUAUUCCUUAUGGCUUUCUGGUAACUAAAUGACAUACCUCAAGAUUUACAUUAUCGUCCAAGUCAUACAGUCUUUGUAUAUUCAGAAUGAUCAUUCAAGUUAAUCAUUAACUCGACUUCAUUACGUUAUGCGUACUUAUCUUUAAUUUAGCUUCUUCAUCGUUCACGGUUUAAUCAUUGGUCUUCAUUAUCAUACGGUCAAACCAUACACCGGGUGUAGGUUCUAUCCAUUUAAUAUUUGCGUACAAUCAAUCUCACGUCGGUUAAAGUGUUUAAUGCUUACAUUUUAAUCUAACAUUCUCCAUCCGACCCAUAUUCAGCUUUCGUUAAUCUUAUUACCAUUCAUUACGGCUUUCUUGAUCAUUCAUUCUUACUUACUAUCUUUCGUUAUCCAUUAUAUGAACCCCAUAUUCAUUACUCAUUCUUAAUGUCGAAUCCAUACCGUUCGCUAUAUGCUAAGACCGAUCGUUAAUCACAACAACGUUGUGUUCAGAGCGUAUAUAUGUUUACACUUAUCUCUCAUUACCAUAACAUAACAUUAAAAUGUUAUUCGUUAACCUUGUCAAUCAACGUAUAAGGAAUCACCAUCAUAGCAAUCCCUCACGUUCGUUUAUCGCAACUACGGUCCCCGGAUAUCGGUUUUGUAACCUAUGUUCACAUUCUUUAUCUUUUAAUCUCGCUUAAUCUUUCCAUUCAACCUUCAAUAAAGUUUAAAUCACUUCAUUAAGUGUUACAUUUGAUGAACUAUAUGUUCAUUAGCUUUCGUUAUACAUUCCCUAGGUUUUGAGCAGUUAAAAGAUCAUUACUGGACUUUGCCCUGCACCGGCGGCGUCGGUUCCCGCUUUAUCACUCGCGCUGCAGCACAACUCUGCAGUGUCAAACUGCCGGGGUUGGCACUGCGCCGCCGCCUCUCAAGGCACGGCUCGCGCUGCAGUGCCAAGCCUUAAUCCUUGAAAAAUGUUCUAUGUCUUGGAUCUAGUUUGAGACGCUUACUUCCCGAUCUCAUAACUUAUUCUUUAUAACUUGGAACGAGGUCAUUCCAAAUCCAUUUUCAUCCUUAUCUUACACACUUCAAUUACCUUCGGACAGAACUUCAUUCUGAAUCCGUUAACAUGCCAUUUGAUUGGCUCAAUCUUCGUCCAUUCGACGACUCAUGUUUUCUACGUUCUCUUACAUUCUUAUGAAACCCCACACGUUCGGGUUCAUUUACACACUUUCUAAUUCUCGUUCAUCUUUUAAGAAAUUUUUGCCAUAACUUCGUUAUAGCUGAGUUUUAAUCCGUUCUACAUGAAUGUUUCUACCGUUCCUAACCAAGCAAUAAGCAUCUAACUUAUACGCGAUGGUUUUAAACUUGUCCAUCAAUAACAUCUAUACUACGAUGGUUUUAAAUUUGUCAAUCAACAACAUUCUUCACGUUCUUCGCGUGUUCUUCGUUAGUUCUUCAUUUUUAAUCGAUAUUUUGAUUACAAUUUCACUUUUUCCUGGAAUUUGAUGUUAUACAACACCAUUCCUUACUUAUUUCACCGAAUCACUCAUAUGAGUCAUUCGGAUCGUUUAUAUUCAUUACGAAUUUUAUACUUCCUUCAGAAAUUUAUUUACUAAAUUUCUAAUUCUUAUUUUUCAUUUCUCAAUGAUUUCAACCAUAUGAAAUUAUUCCUAACAUCAUUUACUUCUGAUUCUCAUUAAGCUAUGUUUUAAACAUAGAAAUUUAAAGAAAAAUUAUACGAGACAAGGUUUCAGAUUACCUUUCUCCUUUAAUCUCCUUCCGUCGGACAAAGGUUUCUCACGAGCAAGCUUUUCCUCUUCAUUUUCCUCUUCUUUAUCCCAUCUGAACUCUCUCUCUCUCUCUCAAGGUGUAGGAUUUUCAAAAUCCCAAAAUAAUGAAUUUUGUUUCCUAUUUAUAAUUUUUUAAAGCUAGGGGCAAAAUAGUCAUUUUGCCCCUAGAUUCACUAUUCGCACCUCCUUACUUCCACCUCCUUACUAUUCACGAAACUUUCAUUGGAAGUUUCAUGGUUCCGUCUUUCGAGUUUCGUCCGACAGUUUUAAAAAAAUGCGAUUCUCAGAAUCCAAAUAUUUUUGGAUAUUUCGUCUUUUGUUUACCGAUUAACUUUUACGUAUUCCUUGGAUCUCCGAAAAACUAAAAAACACUUUUUCACAAUAAGCGUUUUCCUUCACGUUUUCCCCUAAUAUAGUAAACGAAUUAAAAGUACAUAACAAUACUUUUCGUCAUUUUUAUUUCGUCUGAUUUCUGCACAUUUUUUGAGAAAAACUUUUAUCGACUUACUUAACUUUUCACGAUAUAUUAUCGUUAAAUCUUUCAACGGAAUGUCAUUUCGACAUACCGAACUCUCAGAAAGGCUUAGGUUAUUCAAACCCUAACUCUUAGGGUUUUUUUGGGUGAAUAAUGUAUAUUUCAUCUUUUUCCCUAGAAAUAUUUGUUCCCAGAAAAUUUUUUAUUUUCGUCUUGAAAAUUCUUACUCGUUCAGUCUAUCUCGUAACCAGAAUCCUCCCGAUUAAUAAUCAUCCUAGGUUCUAGAACGAUUAAUAAACAUAUAGCACAAAAUAGUAUUAAUAAAAAUUCAUUUUAUUAAUAACUAAUUCUUUAAAUCUUAAAUUCUGGACAAUCCAAAUUUCCGGGUUGUCACACUACAUGAAUGCACACAUUUAAUAAUCCUAAAUUUAAACAUAAACUAACAUAUACAAAUCUAACUAAUGAAAUUAAACAUGCAAACAUGAAAAUUAAACUAACUCCCCCAAACUUGAAAAAUUACAAUGUCCUCAUUGGAAAGAUAAAGCAAUAACUGUGUGAGGACUUCCCUUUAAUCGCCUAAGCUUGGGGUGGUGGUGGCUAUUAUUCCUCAUCUGAAUCACUGGGUGGAAACCUUGGCAUCGGGGCUAGCUGCUAGUAUGGGAACUGUGCGUUAGGGUUAAAACUCUGGAGCGUCGCAUUUAACGAGGCAAAAGACAUAUUCAUGGCCUCUAACAUAAGAUCAUGUCUCGGCGUGAGUCUCCUCAUCUGUCUUCGGGCUUCCUUGUUAUACCCAUCCAUUUGUCUUUGGAGGUUAUGAAACUGAAGGCUAGAUGUAGCCUCGAGUUAUGGUCUCUCAUCCGUCCCUUGCUCUCCCAUCGUCGCAUCCCCCUGAAACUCGUCGUGAUCUGAGGUGUCCUCAGCCUCAACCUUAUCCUCUGAGGCUGGUGAAAAUACAAAACCAACUCCUCUAGGGUAAGACUCGCCCCGAGGCCACACCGAAUAGCGCUCAAUCAUCCUCGUGUCUAACGUCUAAAGUGGCAUCUGGGUGGUUUCAUCAUCGGACCAUCUUAACCCCGCCUGUCUACACAACCCAUAAAUGAGCGAUGGGUGUGGCAAGCCACCAGAGUAUGGUCCUCGCAGGCAUCUUCGGAUAGAAACAAUGAUUAUAGCUCCCACAUCGAUGAGAAAAUCUUGGACAAUGGCAUAUAAAAGUAGUGCCUUCUCCUUGGGCACAUCUGACGUGUGUGUAGAUGGAAACAGCUUAGCGUACAUGAACAUGUACUAUAUCUUUCCAUAUCGGUUGAGAUCCUUAUUGUGGAAGAUAGUGCCCCCUUUUCGGCCCUUGAUCCAUGUUGUACCAGGCCUUGUAAUUUUCGUCAAAAUAGCCUCGUAGUCGGGAUCAUGGUCACGUAAGUAAGCAUACUGGUAGUCUCUAGGAACUCGUAGUUGGUAGUACGUGUUGAUGGCGUUGACACUAAAAAGAACUUGUUUGACCCGAACAAAUGCAAUGAAUGGGGCCUUAUCCUCUGCGUUGGCAUAAAAUUCUUUGACCACAUUCAUAAUCGCUGCCUCAGGCUCUUCCGUGAACCUAUUCCAUCCUUUCUCAUAAAUUUGCUGCAUCAUUUCACCGUCAACGUGUUCAAGUGCCAACCCCCGCUCUGGUGUGAGAGCUUUUGUUACAAGGUAGUCAUAACGGUCGGCGGCGGCACUUAUGAAUUUGCACCUAUCAAAGGUCCUUGUUAGUGGUGUGGACCCUAAACUUUCUUAACAUUGUCUCUUUGAUGCCAGUUUAGGUGCCAUUGGAAUUGGAAUUUAUGAGCUUCACUAAGAAUUCCCCCAACUUCCCUCAAGAAAUUCGUCAAGCACGUGGCGUGCAAGACUUGCAAUACCCCCAAACUUAGUGAUUUGGCUUCAACUAUGGUGAUAAGUGUUGAGAAAUUGGAAGAUAAACUUCUCACUCUCAGUAUAUCCCCAAGUUGGUUGAUUGUUCCUUCCCUUUGUGCUAUAAAAAUCCACUCAAGAAGAACCCUAACCUUGAACUUCUGAAUUGGUGGGAAUUGAGAUGGUUAGAGUGUGGUGUGGAGGGAUGGUUUUAUAAAGGGGAGGUGAUGUAAAGAGGUAUGGGGGGUUGAAGUAGUGGGCAAGUGGUGUAAUGGAGUGGGGAGAUGGGUCUUAAGCUGCUAAAUCGUGGGUUAAGAGUGGAGUAGUAGGGUUUCAGUUGGUUUGCAUUUAGAAAAAAGUGGGGGGAGAUGGUCUGAGUGCUCUAUAACUGCUCAAACAACCUCUUUAGAUUCCGUACCCCCGCCCCGGCGAGGGGUAGUAAGCCUUGGAAGCCCGCCCCAGCGGGCAUGUAUUCUAUUUUGAGAGUUGAGACCCCCUCCCCGGCUAGCUUAUGCAUGCCAAAAUACCCGCCUCGGCUGGCGUGCUUAUUGUUAAUGAGAUUAGUACCCCCGCCCCGGCGGAGGUUUCCUUCACAAAAAACCCGCCUCGGCGGGCAUGCCUUCUGCAAGUUCACUUGAUUUUGUCCAUUCUUUCCAUCCAACUCCAUUCCAUAAGCUUGUUAAGUACCUGAAACAUCAUUAAACAUGAUUAUAAUUUAAUAUUGAGCAAAUUAAGCAUGGAAGGUAAGAUUAUCUAAAAAAUAUAACUUAACUAACUACUUAAUGAACUUAUUCUAUACUAAUUAGUAAUCUAAACUACAUUUUAACUAGCAUACAUAAAAAUAUUGAGAAUAACAAUAACAUUGGGUUGCUUCCCAACUAGCGCUUGAUUUUAUGUCUUUCAGCCCAACUACUUCCUGUUUAUGGCACGUCAGCAAGUGUGAUCGCGAUGACAUCCAUGUUAGAUUCGCCACCCCAAUAAUUUUUCAAACGUUGACCAUUGACCUUGAACGUUUCCAAUGGAUUCCUACUAUAUAAUUCAACAACUCCAUUUGGGAAAACAUUUUUGAUAGUAAAUGGACCUGACCACCUCGAUUUUAGCUUUCCUAGGAACAACCACACUCUUGAGUUGAACAAUAGAACCGAUUGCCCUGGUUCAAAAGUUCUCUGCAUGAUUUUCUGGUCGUGCCAUUUCUUGACUUUUUCUUUGUAUAACUUCGAGUUCUCAUAGGCUUGAAGUCAGAAUUCAUCGAGUACAUUCAAUUGAAGUAGCCUCUUUUCUCCCGCCACUGCUUGAUCGAAGUUAAGUUUCUGAAUUACCCAAUAGGCUUUAUGUUGUAACUCCACCGGUAGGUGACAUACUUUCCCGUAAACCAACUAAUAUGGCGACAUCCCAAUUGGUGUCUUGUAAGUUGUUCUGUAAGCUCAUAUUGCAUCGUCCAAUUUGAGAGACGAGUCUUUUCUGUUUGGGUUUACUACCUUCUCCAAGAUUUUCUUUACCUCCCUAUUUGAAACCUCAGUUUGCCCACUUUUUUGGGGAUAGCCACGUUGUGGUUAACACUAUAUUUUGCUAAAAGAGCUGUAAACAAUCUGUUGCAGAAGUGACUACCCUGGUCACUUAUAAUAGCUUUUGGCAUGCCAAAUCUUGUAAAAAUAUUCUUGUGCAAGAAUUUAAGAAGCACCUUGGCAUCAUUUGUGGGGAGUGCUACGGCUUCAACCCAUUUUGAUAUAUAGUCAACCACAAGCAAGAUGUACUAAUUAUUGAAUGAUGAAGGAAAUGGCCCCAUAAAAUAUAUGCCCCAUACAUCAAAAAUUUCAACUUCUAAGAUAGUUUGUAGUGGCAUGUCAUUCCGCUUUGAUAUGUUACCCACCCUUUGACUGUAACGACCCCAAAAUCCAUACAAUUCAAAUAUCGACUUUGGUCGAUAAUAACACGUCUAACUUCUGAUUUUACAUCAUUAUUCGAUGCUAAACUUAAUAAAAUGCGGAAUAAUUUAAACUUUUCUAUCUUAUUACUUUAAUUCCCUGAAUCAAAACCUUUAUCAUCUACAUGUUUUUAAAUCAAGUUAUUUUAUGAUUCGCUUCAUCAAAGUUAUUAUAUAGAAUCUUACAUUUUGAUCCUAUAACCUUUACAUAUCAGAUAACUCAAACUUGACAGUUUAUCAUUACAUAAUCAUUUUAACAUAUCAAGUACAUUUCUCAAAACCUUUAUCUUUACUUACCUUUAAACCAUACUUAGCUUAUUACUCGCCUUAUCAGAGUUAAUAAAUAAAACUUACAUCCAUGUUAAAUACCCUUUCACACAACAAACAAAACUUAAACUUUGUAACUCAACAUCUAUUAAACAUCAUACAUUAUUCAGAACCCUAAAUGUAACGCCCCAGAAAAUCAAACCUUUUGUAAAUACUGUUAAUAAUGAAUAAAAUAAUAUUAUUUAUUAUUAUUAUGUGUUGAUAAGAUGAAUGUCAUUGUAUAACCUAGAAACGUCGAAACGUCGUAGUAUUUUAACUACGUAAAUGAAUUAAAGUGUUUGAAUUUCUAAGAUGAAAAUAAAAGCUUUCCGAGAAAUUUUCCGAAAAACACUAUUCAUCGACUUUCGCUCAGGAAUUAUUUUUGAACUUCCGAAAUAUACGUAACGUUAUAAUAUCAAGGGGAGAUAGAUUACGUAAUAAUAAUCUAAGUAUGGAAAACGCAAUAUUUCGCAUGCGGGCUUAUUUUGAGAACGUUAGGAAUAUUAAGCGUUAUGAAUAGAAUGUAUUGAUUGUAUGAUAUGUAAGUAUUAUACGAGGUAUUGAAAGCAAGUAUGAUACGAAGUAUUAUACUAGUAUGUAUGAAGAAUGGAAUAAUGUAUGUUACGAAUUAAUAUACGAACUUGAAUACGAGGAUUAUACGUAUAGUAUAUAUGUCAAGGUUUUUAAUUAAAUAGAAUGGACUUAUAGGAUUAUUGUUAAAGUAGUAGAGUCCAAUGAGAAUUAAGGUGCAAGCAUAAGUGUUUGUUAAUCAAAAGUCCAAACUAAUGUAAUGCAAGCCUGUAACGCCCCAGAAAAAUUGAACCUUUGUAAAUACUUUUAAUAAUGAAUAAAAUAAUAUUAUUUAUUAUCAUUAUGUGUUGAUAAGAUGAAUGUCGUUCUAUAACCGAGAAUCGUCGGAAUGACGUAGUAUUUUAACUACGUGAGAGAAUUAAAAUGUUUGAAUUUCUAAGACGAAAACAAAAGCUUUCCGAGAAAUUUUUUGAAAAACACUAUUCAUUGAUUUCUGCUCGAGAAUUAUUUUUGAACUUCCAAUAAAUACAUAACGUUAUAAUAUCAAGGUGAUAUUGAUUAUGCAAUAAUAAUCUAUGUAUGGAAAACGUAAUAUUUUGCAUGCGGACCUAAUUUGGGAAUGUUAGGUUUAUUAAGCGUUAAGGGAAAAGAAGUUGUAAUCGUAUGAUGUGUAAACAUUGUACAAAGUAAUGAACGUAAGUAUAAUACAACGUAUUAUGUUAUUAUGAAUGGAGAAUGAAGUAACGUAUAUUACGAAUUAAUAUACGAGCUAGCAUAUGAGAAUUAUACGUGGUGUAUAUAUGUUAAUUGUUAAUUGAAGGUAAUGGACUUGUAGGAUUAUUAGCAUAAUGGUAGAAGUCCAAUAGAAUGUGAUACUCAAGCCCAAGUGUUUGAAAAAUCAUAAGUCCAAUCUAUUGUAGCAUAAGCCCAAUAAGGAAUUAGCUAGAUAAAUUAGCAAGCCCAAUAAAUUGGACAUGAUCCAUGGGGCAAAACAAGUGAGAAAGGGGUUGACUUGAUGGGCAAAUAAUUUAUGUGAAAAGCAAAUGUUGUGGCUAGCAAGUAGACUGGAUGUUAAGUAAUGAAUAGUAAGGAGGUGGAAGUUGAGGAGGUUAGUAAGGAGGUGGGAGGUGUUAUUGACAAUAGUGCCCUCACUUUGAGUUGCCUAUAAAUAGAAGGAUUGAUUUCCAUUUGUUGGUUGUUAAAUUUCUCCCAACUCCUCUCAAGAUAAGAAACUUAAUUGUUAGAGAGAAUAAGCCACAUAAGCACUUAUAAGCCAUUUCAACCUUUGCUAGAUUUUUCAAAGUGAAGUGAAGUAAUAGUCUUCAAGGGUAAGACUCAUGUCUAUUAUCUUUAUCUCUUCUAUGAUAGGAUUGAUAGAGAAGUGAGAUUGUUUGAUAAUAACAUGUAAUAAGUCAUUGAUAGAUGAACUUAAGCCGAAUAAGUUGAAUAAGCAACUUGAACCUAAAUAAGUUGAUAAGCUUGUAAAGAACUUGUCAUAUGAUUAUAGUAUGAUCAAUAUAGUAUGAUAACAUUUAUUGAUGGACUUAUGUUCAUAGUAAGUCAUAAGCAUGAGAAUUUAUAGUUCAUUUGUUAAAUAAGUCAUUAACUUAUGAGAAUAAUUCAAAACCUACUUUAACAAUAAGCUGGUGUAAUAAGUAACUUGUAAUGUUCUUAUGUUGGUUAAAAUUCAUUAAGAAUGAAGUUUUGCCGGAAUUCUCACGAUUAGAUGAUAAUCGUCAAAUUCGUGAAAUUCUCGGGAUAGAAGUCGUAAUUUGUGUUUGAAGUCGGAAACGUUGGUUUUCGAUGGAGACAAGUCAUAUUUGGCAUUAUAGAGUUGCGGACUCGAAAAUGACCGAAUUCCGACUUAGAACGAAGAAAUGAAUGUUGAACGUUCACGGACGUUUAUCGUUUACGUUGAAAAUGAACUAAUAGGUUAAAUUUUAGCAAACGAAGUCAAAUAGAUAAAACCUGUGCAUAAACUCAUAGAGUACGUAAUUUGUGAACCGUAGGCUUUUGAACGAGCCAAUUCAGACUUAAAACGAAGAAGUUAUGCGUCUGGGAGUUUCGCCGAAUUUGCAAAAGCUGCAAAUUUUCUAAGGCACAGAGUAGGUUCCGUGGCGCCAACCCAAGGCCAAAUGAGUGGCGCCGCAGUGUCGGUACAGUGUCUGAGCACACUGCUAACUCGCGCCACAGCGCGACCUAUAGAGUAAGGACUCGCGCUGCAGCGCCGAGUCCGGGACUUGCCUACUGUUAACUCGCGCCGCAGCGCGGCUUGAAGAGUAUUGGGUGGCGCCGCAGCGCCAACCCUAGGAUGUGGAUAGUAAUGAAUGCUUUCUGAUAUAGAAUGAAAGAGAACUCAUUAAUAAUGAACUAAGAUAUAAUCAUAACAUUGUUAAGGCAUUGUUAGACACUUAAUGUAUUUUGAUUAAGGAUUAAUAAUCAAUUGAAAGUGAACCAAAUGUGAAUGGCGUAAUGAAAAGCCGAAACCCAUAAUAACAGAUUUAAGUCAGGAUUUAGAUUGAGAUGAAGGGUAAGAUAUAAUAGUAUACAUACUUGAUUAUAUAUGACCUAAUGUGGUAUGUUAUAUGAUCAUGUAUUGUAGAGACUUAGAGACUUAAAGUUUACGUGUGAUAAUCAGUAAGCAGACGUUGAAGGCAAGUAUUCUAACCCUUGUUCCAGUUCAGUCUAGACAAGCUUUGUAAUUCAUGCAAUCUUUCGCAUGAAGUCUUGAAUGAUGAAGUCAAAGCCAAUUCUUUUGGCUAGACUUAUAUUAUGAAUCUGUCAAGCAUGAUUAAUGUUUACCGAGUUAUAUUGGUAUGGUUUUCAAUCGAAGACCGAGUAUGUAAAAAAUGUUUUUGUUGUUUAACGGCAGGCACAUGAGGUUGCCACAACUUAAACGUAUACACGUUUAAUGAAUGUAGUGUUGAUCAACAUAGAGUACUAUGGGCUGAUCACCCAGAAGUGCUCGUAAGCUAUGUCGUACUUACAGACUUAGUGUCGGGUUGUCCUUUUCAAAAGAAAUUAUGAACUGCUCAUAGUCUUGAGCUAUAAUUGAUAUUCUACUGAAUAUGGUUGAUGAAAAAUGUUUUGAAUGAAAAGAAGUGCUAUUUUGGAUUAUCGAUAGUACUUCAUAACUAUUGUUCUGUUACUGAAGAUAUAUGAGUUCUAUGUUUCAAGCAUGUUGUUUAUUAGAAUUGUAGUACUUGUUGAGCUAGUAAUGCUCACUCUUGCUUGAACCAUAUGAACACAGCUAAGAUCGAGCGGACCGAAGGCUCAGGCAAAGACAAGGUCAAGGCGAAGACAAACCCUUAAAUUACUUUAUGUGAUGAUCAAGUGUUGUGAUGAGCAAGAAAGGGGAGUGGCUAUCAAGUUUACUUAGGGCUAAAGUAAGGAAUAGUAAGGAGGUUAGUUGAGGAGGUGGGAGGUUAUAAUGACCAUUCUACCCUAACUUAGCCAAGCCUAUAAAUAGAGAGCUCCGCAAUUCAUUUGUUGCUCGAUUAAAAUUCAUUCAAAUUUUAUCAAGAUAAGUGCUUAAGCGUUAGAGAGAAUAAGUCAAGAAUAAGUCAAACAACCUUUGUUAGAUUUUCAAAGAAGAGAAGAACAAGUUCUUCAAGGGUAAGACUCUAGUCUAAUACAUCUUCUAUCUCUAUCAUUGUAGGGUGAUAAGAGAAGUGUAAUUUAAUGAACAUGUAUGCUAAGAACAUAUAAGAAGUGAUUAAUGAAUGAACUUAAGCCGAAUAAGUUGUGAAUAAGCAACUUGAACCUAAAUAAAUUGAUAAACUUAUGAAGAACUUGUCAUAUGAUGUUAGUAUGUUCAAUAUGGUAUGAGAACAUAGAGUACUAUAGGCUGAUCACCUAGACGUGCUCGUAAGUAAUGUUGGACCUACAGACUUAGUGUCGGGAUGUCCUUUUCAAAAGAACUGAUGAAAUGCUCAAGGUCUUGUACCGAAAUUGAUGUUUUACUGAAUAUUGUUGUUGUAAAACAUUUUGAAUGAAAAGAAGUGAUAUUUUGAUUUAUCGAUAGUACUUCAUAACUAUUGUUCAGUUAUUGAAGAUAUAUCAGUUCUAUGUUUUAAGCAUGUUGUUUAUAAGAAUUAUAGUACUUGCUGAGCUUGUCAUGCUCACUCUUGCUUGAACCAUAUGAACACAGCUAAGAUCAAAUGGACUGAAGGCUCCGACAAGGAUAAGGGCAAGGCGAAGGUGAAUCCUUAGAGUUCUUAUGUAAUAGUAUAGAGAAAUGUUCGUAAUAUAUUGAAUAUUAUGACAAGAAUGAAUGUAUGGGUUAUAAAGAACCUAGGGAAAUGUAAUAUUAUUUUGAAUAUAUAGAAGACAUAUUUGUUCUUUUGAGACUUUUCAAUUGAAUGUAUGUGUGAAUGGUAGUACCGUGUAGCACCAUCUGUCGGAUUGGAAGAUAUCCGAAUUUGGGGGCGUCACAGGUUG